GAUGAACGCUAGCGGCAGGCUUAAUACAUGCAAGUCGAGGGGCAGCACGAAUAGCAAUAUUUGGUGGCGACCGGCGCACGGGUGCGUAACACGUAUACAACCUACCUAUAACAGGGGGAUAGCCUUUCGAAAGAGAGAUUAAUACCCCGUAAUAAAUUGAGUGGCAUCACUUGAUUUUGAAAGCUACGGCGGUUAUAGAUGGGUAUGCGUCUGAUUAGCUAGUUGGUGAGGUAACGGCUCACCAAGGCGACGAUCAGUAGCCGGCCUGAGAGGGUGAACGGCCACAAUGGGACUGAGACACGGCCCAUACUCCUACGGGAGGCAGCAGUGGGGAAUAUUGGGCAAUGGGCGCAAGCCUGACCCAGCAACGCCGCGUGAGGGAAGAAGGCUUUCGGGUUGUAAACCUCUAUCCUUGGUGACGAAACAAAUGACGGUAGCCAAGAAGGAAGCCCCGGCUAACUACGUG
rnacentral:rRNA from 1 species